rnacentral:lncRNA from 1 species
AAGGACUCCCCUCACAUAUUUAUUUUUAUAAAACAUUUUACUCCCUUUACUAUCACAAUCAUAAUGUAUGUGUAACAUAAUCUUUGUUCAUGUUAAUGACAUAAAAAACACAGCUUGGGAAAAUAUAGUAGCCUUUACAUGCCAGUGAGUUCAAAUUGCAAAGAAAAUUUAAUUUUACUUAAUUGUUCUAUUUUUUAUUGCAUUGUUUACUAGUUCUAUGAUCACUACAUUUGCCGAUAUACAUAUAUGUUUAUAUAGUAUAGAUGAGUGUAUAUAAAUAUGGAUGUAAAUAUAUAUUUCCAGAUUUGGUAAACAAUUUUCCUCUGAAGGAAGUACUUUUAUGGUUGGUCAGCAAAAUCAGCUAUACUAUUGGAUUUAACUAAGUCUAUAGAAUUUUCUGAAGUACAUAGUUAAAUAUUUAUCUGGAAUAAAUGAUUGGUCCAUAUCUUUCAUUUUCCUAAGUAUCUUAUCAAUAUCUAUCCUUAUUUCUGGCUACAUUAAUUUAGUUAAUAAUCCACUUGGUCAGCUUACUUAUUUUCACUUUUAGGCCAUAGAUUUCCAGAACUGACUCAUCGCCAUAAAAAAGAAAGAAGCUCCAACAGAAACGUUGUCUAGACUACAAGCAGAGUUAAACAGUUUUUCUGUUUGCUGAGUUAGGAUUCAUUGUUUUGCCUAAUCCUUUUGCUUCUCGACACCUCUCUCCAAACUUUUCUAGACUUCUGACUUCUAUGUCUACCCAAACUCUUCCUAACAACUGAUUUUCUGCUAAACCAACACCAGACUCUCAGUUUUCCCUUGUCUUUUUAUCCUCUGGGCAGCAACCCUAUCAUUAUAGUUCCCACACCUCCCAGCUUCCCCAUGACUUUCGUUCUUUGAGAGCAGGAGUCUGCCUCAAUUAUCAUAACAUAUUUGACUCAAAAACUUCUACUUCAGGCUUGUCUCUGCUAUUUGAAUUCUAGACCUGCCUAUUCAAUGCCCAUGGAACACCUUUGUUUGAAUUUCUAUCAAGAGUCUCAAACUUGACACUAGCAAAACAAAAUUCAACUCCUGAUUUUAUCUUCUCAUAAUGAUGUAGGAAAGCUGAGGCAGCGAAAGCGUGAAUCCACAAAGACCCAGGUCAAACCUAAGUGUUAGAAUUUUGUUUGGCUGCCCUUUCUUCCAUUCCUCCCAUGCAGGCUUUCAACUCCAGAUUCUUGAAAAGUAUCAAAGUUGGUGUCUACAAGGAUUAUGGGUAGCAAAUUCAGGGUUUGGGGAACAAACAGAUGAGUUGGAUUCUCAUGUCAGUCCUUGAAUUCUUCUGUGUUCCAGAGUCGAUGAUUAUGAUCUUAACCCAGCCUAUUAGACACAAAUACUAUAGAGUGGAAAGAGUAAAUGACAUAGUUCAACUGCCUUCCCAAACAAAACAGUUCCCAGUGAUGCUUGGGUCCAGAAGAGAUUAAAAACCUAUCAAUAUGCAAACAAAUGAUGAAGGAGAAAUAAUACCACAAUUUGCAUUUUUUAUGCUUAUAAUUUAUAUAAUUAUUACCAAAUAUAAAUGUAAAGUUAAAGAGAAAUAAGUCCAUAAAUGUAACAUUAUAUUAUAUAUUGAUAUAUAAUAUAUCUAUAUUGUAUACAGUGUUUUCUGGUUAAUUAUUUACUGACAUUGGUACUAGAUUACAUAGUUUGAAUAACCUUGGUGAAUUUUGAAAUGACUUCACAUUAUCUUAAAAAACACUGAAAAUGUAUCUAAGUGAAAAAUUUUCAUUUCUCCUAGGUUUGUCAUUAACUUUAUACAUUCAAAAUUAUUUUAAUAGAGAAGGUAUUUAUUGACCCAAUAAAUUUACAGUGGCUACGUAGGGACUUGUUAAUCUUAAAAAUAAAUAAAUGCAUACAGGGAUAUACACAAGUUCUUGUUUUUCAUCUACAUGUGUUGGACUGUUAGUUUCCUACGUAUUGAACAAUGUUUAAUAUCUUUCUCUUAAACAAUAAAAUUUUGUCUCCAACUAACAAUCCAAAACAUUGUAUUUUAGAAAAAGAUAUUAAUUUCCUGGUUACAGGAAUGCAAAAUGAGACAUGCAGCAUUCCCAUAUUUUUUUUUAUUACUCUCCUGUCAUUUAGAAAUAGCUGAUUCAAUUUAAGCGGAACUUGAAUUUAAAAAUAAAGUACCCCUGAGCUGAAUCCCCUUGUGUUGAGUUUCUGUCUCAGAGCCUGUUUUAUAGCUGAGUUACAAACACUGAAGAAAAUUUAUAAUGGAGCCUGGAGAACCUCAUUUUGUAAUGGGAGGUAGUGGUCACCAGCAAUGAGGGAAUAUAUUGUGUUCAGAUGUCAACCUCUUUACCUUUCUAAAAUGGUGGGUUUUGAGUUUGGAAAUCAAUAUCCAUAUAUUUUGUUUCACACCCCACUUUGUCAUAACACAAUAUCUUUCCCUGCUGAAGUACAAAAGGGUCUAGUUUAGUAAUAAAAAAGAGGUGGGCAGCAAUUGUUAGACAAUUUAUAGCUCUUCCUAAAAAUAAAUUGAAUACUGUUACCAAUAAAGUACAUAAAAAAAGAGUAAGAGAAAAGAGAGAAGAGACCAAUAGAUUUGUGUAUUAUGCAAACUCAAAAUGUAAGAAAUGAAAAACCCAAAGUCCUCUAUACCAAUAUAAGCAAAGUAUGUUACAGGCAAAAUAAAUAUCACAGGCACAGAAAAAUUUAAAUACCUUUAAAUUACCAGGAUAUUCCCUGUGUAAGUAUUUUGGUCAGAUUCUAAAUUGAUUAGAAAAUUAUAAGAAAUUAUUUUCUUGAUAAAACACAAAAAUACUAUACUAUAGGCUUGGCAGAAUUCAUAUAGCUUUAAUAUUUUAUUAUAUCUGUAACAUUCAUUGCAUUUAUCUGAUUGAACAACUGCCAAAAAACAGGCAUCAUCCUAAAUCUAUUAAUCUAGGUUGUAUAUUUGAAUCUGAAUGUUUUCUCUCAUAUUAUAUGACCAUCAAAUAACUCCAUCUCUGGUAGAGUGCUCAUCUUCUUCGAGUUCAUCUUACAUCUUUUUAGAAUUUUUGAUGUAGUUGUGCUGGUGGUUUUUAAGUUUUCUAUAAUCCAGCGAAUGCAACACUUUUAUCCUCUUCCUAAUAGUAAUUAUAAGAAAUAUAUGAAAAGCUCUUCCCAGUGUUCCACAAAUCAGUAUUUCAUAAAAAUGAAUUUCUAAAUCCCCAAGUAAUCAAAACUAAUGAUGUUUGACAUUGGUUGUUAAAUUUAUGUGUAAUAAGAUAAUAGUUGCUGAAUGUUCUCAUUAGACUUGUCAUCCAACAUAACUUAGUUUAAAAUAUGUUUUUAACUUGACCAGGUCAUUGAUUUUGCACUGUACAAAGGCUUUCUUUGACACUAAAUUUUACCUCAGAAUCCAUUUGGGCAUUUGCUUAUGUAGUGAAAUAGGCUUCAACUGUGUUAUGAAAGAAACCUUACUAAACACAGCAGAGAAAAGCAAGGGAAAACAUGCUCCCUUUAGGCUUUAGUUAUCAUACAACCGAAAUAAUUCAGUUAUCAUAAAACCAAUAUAAUUUCUAAACUUGAAAUAAUUCAAAUACUUUAUAUAUCUUUACUUAAUUUUUUUCCUCACUUGGAAGGAGCAACAGUGCUAAAAACUGUCUUUAAUAAGGGCACAGUUCUUUGUUUUUGUUUCUUUUAACUGAUGCAUGAACUGGACUAUUCAGUGUGUAAUAUAUAUCCUUCUGAUAUGGAUGUAUGUGUGUGUGAAUGUGUGUGUGUGUGUGUGUGUGUGUGUGUAUUUUUUUUUUUUUUUUUGCUUCUUUCAGGAAGCACCCAUGGCAUAUAGAAGUUCCCAGGCUAGGGGGCAAAUCAGAGCUACAGCUGCCCAACUACACCAGAGCCAUAGCAGCAUGGGAUUUGAGCCGCAUCUGCAACCUACACCACUGCUCAGGGCAAUUCCACAUCCCUAACCCAUUGAGAGAGGACAAGGAUGGAACCCACAUCCUCAUGGAUACUAGUCAGAUUCAUUUCCACUGAACCACUGCAGGAAUUCCCUGGAUGUAUACAUCUUUAAAAAUAUUUUUCUUAGAAAUAUUUUAAGAUUGAAAAUGAUUCCUGACUGGAGUCCUCUAUCAAUACACUUGAAAUGGAAUAAAUGCCUUCACUAGCUUCAAUCUCUGGUGACCUAUGUAAUGGAAAGGUAUUGAUAUCACAUACAUUUU